AUGAAAAUUAAAUGGCCGCAGUACCCUGACUGUGCUAAGGUAGCGUAAUCAGUUGGCUUUUAAAUGAAGUCGAGAAUGAAUGGGUCUACGGGAACAAGCUGUCUCCUUUUGUAUCAGUGAAUUUGUUUAAAAGGUGAAAAUCCCUUUAAUUAGAAAAAAGACGAGAAGACCCUUAGAGUUUUAAUAAAAAUUACAUAUUGUAAUUCUUUUUUGCUGGGGCGGCAAGGAGUACAACUAAACUCUCCUAUUAAAACUCGAAGACGUAACUUUUAAGAACCAUUAAACUACCUUAGGGAUAACAGCAUAAUUAAUUAUUAGUUUGUGACCUCGAUGUUGGACUAGGAAUAAUUUUUGGUUAGAAGCCAAAAGUAACGUUCUGUUCGAACCUU
rnacentral:rRNA from 1 species